rnacentral:rRNA from 1 species
GACCUCAAAUCAGGUAAGAAUACCCGCUGAACUUAAGCAUAUCAAUAAGCGGAGGAAAAGAAAAUAACAAUGAUUCCCUCAGUAACGGCGAGCGAAGAGGGAUAAGCUCAAAUUUUAAAUCUGUUGGGUUCCACUUAACAGAGUUGUAUUUUGAAGAAACGUUUUCUGCAUCCAGGAUUAGCCUAAAUCCUUUGGGAUAAGGUAUCAUGGAGGGUGAGAAUCCCGUUCAUGGUUAAUCUUAAGGAAGCUCUACGAUACGUUUUCCAAGAGUCGAGUUGUUUGGGAUUGCAGCUCAAAAUGGGAGGUAAAUUUCUCCUAAGGCUAAAUAUUGGCGAGAGACCGAUAGCGAACAAGUACCGUGAGGGAAAGAUGAAAAGAACUUUGAAAAGAGAGUUAAACAGUACGUGAAAUUGUUGAAAGGGAAACGAUUGAAGUCAGUCAUACCAACGGGAAAUCAACCUUUUGAGCUCGGUCUCGUGGGUUUUGAAGAGUUUCAAAGCCUUCGGAUUCGCGGGAUUGGGAUCUCUUGGUGUACUUUUUCGUACGGUUAGUCAACAUCGGUUUUGGAUGUCAUAAAAUGACUGGAGGAAUGUAGCUUCGAUCUCGUAUUGAAGUGUUAUAGCCUUUGGUAGAUGUGAUGUUUGAGACCGAGGAUUGCAACGGAUACCCUUCAGGGCUAUUCGUCUGAUCUCUGAUACGUUGCCUUGAUGUUGAAAGCUUGCUUAUGAUGUUAGGGUAUUACGGUCAAAAGGUUAGAACGGAUUAGAUUCGUUAAGGAUGUUGACGUAAUGACUUUAAACGACCCGUCUUGAAACACGGACCAAGGAGUCUAACAUAUAUGCGAGUGUUUGGGUGAUUAAACCCUUGCGCGUAAUGAAAGUAAUUUUGGUGAGAUCCGGGAAAAAAUUUUCGGAGCAUCAUCGACCGAUCAGGAUAUUU